rnacentral:rRNA from 1 species
CGAGCCCGGAGAUAGCUGGUUCUCCCCGAAAUAGCUUUAGGGCUAGCCUCAAGGUGAGAGAUACGGAGGUAGAGCACUGAAUGUCCUAGGGGGUAUUGCACCUACCGAAGACUAUCAAACUCCAAAUGCCGUCAUCUUAUACUUGGGAGUCAGACUGUGGGUGAUAAGAUUCAUAGUCGAAAGGGCAACAGCCCAGAUCGUCAGCUAAGGUCCCUAAAUGUAAGUUAAGUGGUAAAGGAUGUGGGAUUGCACAGACAACCAGGAUGUUGGCUUAGAAGCAGCCACUCAUUCAAAGAGUG